UGGCGGACGGGUGAGUAACGCGUGAGAAUCUGCCUUUAGGUCGGGGACAACAGUUGGAAACGACUGCUAAUACCGGAUGUGCAGCAAUGUGAAAGAUUUAUUGCCUAAAGAUGAGCUCGCGUCUGAUUAGCUGGUAGGUGUGGUAAUGGCGCACCUAGGCGACGAUCAGUAACUGGUCUGAGAGGAUGACCAGUCACACUGGGACUGAGACACGGCCCAGACUCCUACGGGAGGCAGCAGUGGGGAAUUUUCCGCAAUGGGCGAAAGCCUGACGGAGCAAUACCGCGUGAGGGACGACGGCUUUUGGGUUGUAAACCUCUUUUCCCUGGGAAGAAGAUCUGACGGUACCAGGGGAAUCAGCAUCGGCUAACUUCGUGCCAGCAGCCGCGGUAAUACGAGGGAUGCAAGCGUUAUCCGGAAUCAUUGGGUUUAAAGGGUCCGUAGGCGGUCAGGUAAGUCAGUGGUGAAAGCCCAUCGCUCAACGGUGGAACGGCCAUUGAUAC
rnacentral:rRNA from 1 species